CACAGAUGCUGGAAUGCACUGUGGCCGAAAGCUCCGGCGCCCAAGGAUGGGUCUGCGGCCUAUCAGGGUUGUAGUGGGUGUAACGGACCUACUAGCCUACGACGGGUACGGGUUGUGAGAGCAAGAGCCCGGAGAUGGAUUCUGAGACACGAAUCCAGGCCCUACGGGGUGCAGCAGGCGCGAAAACUUUACAAUGCGGGAAACCGUGAUAAGGGAAUCUCGAGUGCCAGCAUAUAAUGUUGGCUGUCCAGAUGCCUAAAAAGCAUCUGUUAGCAAGGGCCGGGCAAGACCGGUGCCAGCAGCCGCGGUAAUCCCCCCGUGCCCCCGCCCCGCCCGCCGG
rnacentral:rRNA from 1 species